GACGAACGCUGGCGGCGUGCCUAAUACAUGCAAGUAGAACGCUGAAGGAGGAGCUUGCUCUUCUGGAUGAGUUGCGAACGGGUGAGUAACACGUAGGUAACCUGCCUGGUAGCGGGGGAUAACUAUUGGAAACGAUAGCUAAUACCGCAUAACAGUAGAUGUUGCAUGACAUUUGCUUAAAAGGUGCAAUUGCACCACUACCAGAUGGACCUGCGUUGUAUUAGCUAGUUGGUGGGGUAACGGCUCACCAAGGCGACGAUACAUAGCCGACCUGAGAGGGUGAUCGGCCACACUGGGAAUGAGACACGGCCCAGACUCCUACGGGAGGCAGCAGUAGGGAAUCUUCGGCAAUGGACGGAAGUCUGACCGAGCAACGCCGCGUGAGUGAAGAAGGUUUUCGGAUCGUAAAGCUCUGUUGUAAGAGAAGAACGAGUGUGAGAGUGGAAAGUUCACACUGUGACGGUAUCUUACCAGAAAGGGACGGCUAACUACGUG
rnacentral:rRNA from 1 species